CAGUAGCCGCGGUAAUACGUAGGUGGCAAGCGUUGUCCGGAAUUAUUGGGCGUAAAGGGCUCGCAGGCGGUUUCUUAAGUCUGAUGUGAAAGCCCCCGGCUCAACCGGGGAGGGUCAUUGGAAACUGGGAAACUUGAGUGCAGAAGAGGAGAGUGGAACUCCACGUGUAGCGGUGAAAUGCGUAGAGAUGUGGAGGAACACCAGUGGCGAAGGCGACUCUCUGGUCUGUAACUGACGCUGAGGAGCGAAAGCGUGGGGAGCGAACAGGAUUAGAUACCCCAGUAGUCCCUGUCUCUUAUAC
rnacentral:rRNA from 1 species